GCUUGCUCUUAUGAAGUUAGCGGCGGACGGGUGAGUAACACGUGGGUAACCUGCCCAUAAGACUGGGAUAACUCCGGGAAACCGGGGCUAAUACCGGAUAAUAUUUUGAACCGCAUGGUUCGAAAUUGAAAGGCGGCUUCGGCUGUCACUUAUGGAUGGACCCGCGUCGCAUUAGCUAGUUGGUGAGGUAACGGCUCACCAAGGCAACGAUGC
rnacentral:rRNA from 2 species